AAAGAAAUCUGAUCUCUUCGAGCUCCGAGUUGUAAUUUGUAGAGGGCGCUUUGGUGUUGGCUGCGGUCUAAGUUCCUUGGAACAGGACGUCAUAGAGGGUGAGAAUCCCGUCUGUGGUCGCAUGUCUUCACCGUGUAAAGCCCCUUCGACGAGUCGAGUUGUUUCCCAAUGCAGCUCUAAAUGGGAGGUAAAAUUCUUCUAAAGCUAAAUACUGGCCAGAGUCCGAUAGCGCACAAGUAGAGUGAUCGAAAGAUGAAAAGCACUUUGGAAAGAGAGUCAAACAGCACGUGAAAUUGUUGAAAGGGAAGCGCUUGCAACCAGACUUGCUUGCAGUUGCUCAUCCGGGCGCUCGCCCGGUGCACUCUUCUGUAGGCAGGCCAGCAUCAGUUUGGGCGGUUGGAUAAGGCCCUCUGUCAUGUAUCUUCUCCGGAAGACCUUAUAGGGGAGGCGUAAUGCAACCAGCCUGGACUGAGGUCCGCGCAACUGCUAGGAUGCUGGCGUAAUGGCUGUAAGCGGUCCGUCUUGAUACACGGACCAAGGAGUCUAACAUCUAUGCCAGUGUUUGGGAGUCUAGUCCGAGCGCGCAAUGAAAGAGAACGGAAGCGGGAAGCCUCGCAUGCAACAUCGACCGAUCCUGAACUCUUCCGAUGCAUGCGAGUACUAGCAUACCUGUUGCUACCCUAAAUAUGAUACUCUAUGCUUGAAGAUGCAGUACCCACAGGAUACUCUCGUGAAGGCUCGCUCCUAGUCUAUACGCGGAACUCCAUCCCCAGCUGGGUGCAUAACGCCUACCCAAUAAUGUAUCUAUCUUAAAAUUCGUGACUGACGCCUUUUUCCUACCGACCUUUCUGAUGCUGG
rnacentral:rRNA from 1 species